AAAACAUUUAAAAAAUAUUAACUUUAGUUUUAUAUAUUUAUUUUCAUAGUUAAUAAAUUAUUAUAUAGUAAAAUUAAUUCAUUUAUUAAUCUGCGGUUCACGUGCGGUCAAAUCAGUGACCCAGCGACCCGGUAAGUCGUCCGGUUCAGUGUCCGGGUCGGGUUUAAAAACAUUGCUUUCGAGUAUUAUGCCAAUAUCUACCACUUACCUUACGGAAUGUACUAAGCGAAUAGCGACUAUGUUUGAUUGUUUAAUUUUAAGGUACAUUGAGUGGUUCAAAAUUUUUUUAUUGAUUUAAUGUACUAAAUGACUCACUAAUUAAUGUACUUAUGUUUGAUUGUUCAAUUUGAAGGUACAUUGAGCCGUUUAAAGAUUUUUGUUUUUGAUAAUUCAAUGAUGAUGAAACCAGUCACUGGUAAAACAAGUCUUUUUCACUACUAAUUUAUAAUAACAUAAUGAAAACCCUAGUUCCCUUUCUUUCAAGUCAAGGUCGCCGCCGCAUCUCAGUUUCGUCUCUGCUCUGGCGGUUGGCUUUGCCGCAGCCGUCGGGAGCAGCCCCCUCCGUUUCUUUUAUGUCAUUGGGGUUGUAUCUCGUUUUUAUGUCUCCUCUGAAGGUUUUGGCUGGUAUCGUCAAAUCUGAGUGAGAGAUUCUAUUGGGUGCGAUCUCGUCGUUGUUCUCUGUGCUUAAGGGCGUUCUCCUUGGCGUUCAGUGUCGCUGAGGCUCGAUGUUUGGUUCUUCUCUCGUGAGUGAUUCUGGAGAAGUUCGGUUUGGCAAGACUUUAGAUUUGUGGUGUUUGGGUGAGCUUCUUUCUUUGGUUUUCAGAAGUAUAUGUAUCCAAGGUGCAUGGACUGAGCAGCGGUUCCUCUUGUCAAGUUAUGAAGCCUCCGGUAUGUGGUCUUAUUGGUUGGCGUGCGAGGCAGCAACGAUAAGUCUGGUUUGCAGAAGUGGAGAUUACUGGGUGGCAGGCUAUAGGUAGCAGCGGUAAUUUCCGAUCAUUGGUCUUUUCUUAGUUCUAAUGUCUGCUAGGUUUUCUAUUUUGGCUCAUGCAUAGAUGAACUUGUUAUGUGUCUCUAGUGUCUAUUAGAUUUCAUGUGUAUUUUCUUUAGUCAUUCCGGUGUAGUUUUAAGUCGUCCGAUAUGGAUUCUAGUCGCUGUUUUUUAUGGACUUUUGGUUCUGGGGCUAUUUGUUUCUGCCGC